AGGUCCUCGAAGACGUCUGCAAGAAACAUGGAAUUAAUCCUGACGAUCACGGUUUAAAAUUUCAGAGGAACGUUCUGGACCUGUCGCUCCAGUGGAGGUUUGCCAGCGUGCCAAACAAUGCCAAGCUGGAGGUGGUGACCAGCACCCGGAAACAGACAGGGACCGACAGCCCGGUGCGUAUUGCCCUGCAGAUGGAAGAUGGUACCAGACUCCAGGGUACUUUCUCCAGUGGACAGACACUAUAGG